rnacentral:rRNA from 1 species
CGACCGCGUGAACGAUGAAGGCCUUCGGGUCGUAAAGUUCUGUGUUAGGGAAGAACAAGUACCAGAGUAACUGCUGGUACCUUGACGGUACCUAACCAGAAAGCCACGGCUAACUACGUGCCAGCAGCCGCGGUAAUACGUAGGUGGCAAGCGUUGUCCGGAAUUAUUGGGCGUAAAGCGCGCGCAGGCGGUUUCUUAAGUCUGAUGUGAAAGCCCACGGCUCAACCGUGGAGGGUCAUUGGAAACUGGGAAACUUGAGUGCAGAAGAGGAGAGUGGAAUUCCACGUGUAGCGGUGAAAUGCGUAGAGAUGUGGAGGAACACCAGUGGCGAAGGCGACUCUCUGGUCUGUAACUGACGCUGAGGCGCGAAAGCGUGGGGAGCGAACAGGAUUAGAUACCCUGGUAGUCCACGCCGUAAACGAUGAGUGCUAAGUGUUAGAGGGUUUCCGCCCUUUAGUGCUGCAGCAAACGCAUUAAGCACUCCGCCUGGGGAGUACGGUCGCAAGACUG